rnacentral:ncRNA from 1 species
AAUAAAGCUAUGAAGGAGAUAAAAAUAUCACAUUUAAAACUACAGAGAGUCAACGGUUGCUGAGAGUUGAUGUUUUAAGGAUAUGUAAUAAUCACUCCUGAGCUGUAAAAAUAAUGAGGUAAUUCAUUAAUUUGAAUUACGAACUAGGGUGGUACCACGAAUCUUUCGUCCCUAUA